AUUGAACGCUGGCGGCAUGCCUUACACUUGCAAGUCGAACGGUAACAGGUCUUCGGAUGCUGACGAGUGGCGAACGGGUGAGUAACACAUCGGAACGUGCCUAGUAGUGGGGGAUAACUACUCGAAAGAGUGGCUAAUACCGCAUGAGAUCUACGGAUGAAAGCAGGGGAUCGCAGGACCUUGUGCUACUAGAGCGGCCGAUGGCAGAUUAGGUAGUUGGUGGGAUAAAAGCUUACCAAGCCGACGAUCUGUAGCUGGUCUGAGAGGACGAUCAGCCACACUGGGACUGAGACACGGCCCAGACUCCUACGGGAGGCAGCAGUGGGGAAUUUUGGACAAUGGGCGCAAGCCUGAUCCAGCAAUGCCGCGUGCAGGAUGAAGGCCUUCGGGUUGUAAACUGCUUUUGUACGGAACGAAAAGCCCUGGGUUAAUACCCUGGGGUCAUGACGGUACCGUAAGAAUAAGCACCGGCUAACUACGUGCCAGCCGCCGCCGUAA
rnacentral:rRNA from 1 species